rnacentral:rRNA from 1 species
GCUCCAAUAGCGUAUAUUUAAGUUGUUGCAGUUAAAAAGCUCGUAGUUGGAUUUCGGGCGGCGCCGCCGGUCCGGGCUUUGCUUGUGCACUGGUGCGCGCCGUCUUCUCGGCGAGGACGCGCUGUCGUGCUUCACUGCGCGGCACGCGGAGUCGUCACAGUUACUUUGAAAAAAUUAGAGUGUUCAAAGCGGGCUUACGC